rnacentral:ncRNA from 1 species
GGUGAUGUUCGCGUCGCCCCGGCGGACCGAAAGGGAAUCGGGUUAAUAUUCCCGAACCUCGACGCGGAGAUUGGCGCUCCGGCGCCUAGUGCGGCAACGCAAACGAACUCGGAAACGCCGACGUGGGUCCCGGGAAGAGUUCUCUUUUCUUGGUAAGGGGCGGCGACCCUGGAAUCGGUUCGCCCGGAGAUAGGGACAUGGGCCCCGUAAAGCAGCACGUCUCUUGUGCUGUCCGGUGAGCUCGCGUCGUUCUGCCGGGUCACGCCUCUUGUCGGCCCGCCGCGUCGGU